UUGGGUUGGGAAUUCCAAAGGGAUUUUGUGAUCCAAAGGGGUUUUGGGAUGGGAUUCCAAAGGGAUUUUGGGCUGAGAUUCUGAAGGGAUUUUGGGCUGGGAUUCCAAAGGGAUUUUUGGAUGGGAUUCCAAAGGGAUUUUGGGAUGGGAUUUCAAAGGGAUUUUGGGUUGGGAUUCCAAAGGAAUUUUGGGAUGGGAAUUCCAAAGGGAUUUUGGGACUGGGAAGGAAUUUUGGGAUGGGAAUUCCAAAAGGAAUUUUGGGCCGGGAAUUCCCUGCCUGAUCCCGCAUUUCCCGCUCAGGGCGCCGGCCUGGAGGCGCUGCCGGAGCGAUUCCAAGCGGCGCCGCCGCCGCUGCUGGAGCAGAAACCCGGAAUGUUCUCCCAGUCCUUCCCUCCUUCCUCCUCCUCCUCCUCCUCCUCCUCCUCCUCCUCCUCCUCCUCCUCGGCCUCUCCCGGGAAUUUCCCGGGAAUGCUGAGGCCGAAGGCGCCCUUCGGAGCCGUUCCGGUGGCCGUGGCUGCUCCUCCUCCUCCUCCUCCUCCUCCUCCUCCUCCUCCUCCUCCUCUUCCCGCUGCUCCGGCUCGCGGCGCGUUUCCGGCACAUUCCGGCGGCUCGGCGACGCGACCGCCGGGCCGGGCGCUGCCCGCGCCCAACGCGCUGCGGCUGCAGCUGCAGCAGCGCCUGCAGGGCCAGCAGCAGGUCAGCCCCAAACAGCAGGAAAAAUCACCAANNNNNNNNNNUCCCGAAAAUAUCCGGAAAAAAUCGGGAAAAAAUGGCCAAAAAAUCAUGAAAAAAUCGUGAAAAAAUCAGAAAGAAAUGACCAAAAAAUCACGAAAAAAAUCGUGAAAAAAUCCCCAAAAAAUCAGAAAAAAAUGCCCAAAAAACCCCCCCAAAAUACCGAAAAUAUCCGGAAAAAAUCGGGAAAAAUGGCAGAAAAAUCAUGAAAAAAUCGUGAAAAAAUCCCCAAAAAAUCAGAAAAAAAUGCCCAAAAAACCCCCCCAAAAUCCCGAAAAUAUCCGGAAAAAAUCGGGAAAAAAUGGCCAAAAAAUCGUGAAAAAAACACAAAAAAAAUAACGAAAAAAUCAGAAAAAAAUGACCAAAAAGUCCUGAAAAAAAUCACGAAAAUAUCAGAAAAAAACCGCCCAAAAAGUC
rnacentral:lncRNA from 1 species